rnacentral:rRNA from 1 species
GACGAACGCUGGCGGCGUGCCUAAUACAUGCAAGUAGAACGCCGAAGGAGGAGCUUGCUCUUCUUGGAUGAGUUGCGAACGGGUGAGUAACGCGUAGGUAACCUGCCUGGUAGCGGGGGAUAACUAUUGGAAACGAUAGCUAAUACCGCAUAAUAGUAGAUGUUGCAUGACAUUUGCUUAAAAGGUGCAAUUGCAUCACUACCAGAUGGACCUGCGUUGUAUUAGCUAGUUGGUGAGGUAACGGCUCACCAAGGCAACGAUACAUAGCCGACCUGAGAGGGUGAUCGGCCACACUGGGACUGAGACACGGCCCAGACUCCUACGGGAGGCAGCAGUAGGGAAUCUUCGGCAAUGGACGGAAGUCUGACCGAGCAACGCCGCGUGAGUGAAGAAGGUUUUCGGAUCGUAAAGCUCUGUUGUAAGAGAAGAACGAGUGUGAGAGUGGAAAGUU